AGUGAACGCUGGCGGUAGGCCUAACACAUGCAAGUCGAACGGCAGCACAGUAAGAGCUUGCUCUUACGGGUGGCGAGUGGCGGACGGGUGAGGAAUACAUCGGAAUCUACUUUUUCGUGGGGGAUAACGUAGGGAAACUUACGCCAAUACCGCAUACGACCUACGGGUGAAAGCAGGGGAUCUUAGGACCUUGCGCGAUUGAAUGAGCCGAUGUCGGAUUAGCUAGUUGGCGGGGUAAAGGCCCACCAAGGCGACGAUCCGUAGCUGGUCUGAGAGGAUGAUCAGCCACACUGGAACUGAGACACGGUCCAGACUCCUACGGGAGGCAGCAGUGGGGAAUAUUGGACAAAGGGCGCAAGCCUGAUCCAGCCAUACCGCGUGUGUGAAGAAGGCCUUCGGGUUGUAAAGCCCUUUUGGUGGGAAAGAAAAGCAGCAGGUUAAUACCCCGCUGUUCUGACGGUACCCAAAGAAUAAGCACCGGCUAACUUCGUG
rnacentral:rRNA from 1 species